rnacentral:rRNA from 1 species
UACGGAGGGUGCAAGCGUUAUCCGGAUUUACUGGGUUUAAAGGGUGUGUAGGCGGACUUUUAAGUCCGUGGUGAAAAUCUCCGGGCUCAACCCGGAAACUGCCAUGGAUACUAUUGGUCUUGAAUGUUGUUGAGGUGGGCGGAACGGGUCAUGUAGCGGUGAAAUGCAUAGAUAUGACCCGGAACACCGAUUGCGAAGGCAGUCCACUAAGCAAUGAUUGACGCUGAGGCACGAAAAGCGUGG